UACGAAGGGGGCUAGCGUUGUUCGGAAUCACUGGGCGUAAAGCGCACGUAGGCGGAUGUGCCAGUCAGGGGUGAAAUCCCGGAGCUCAACUCCGGAACUGCCUCUGAUACAGCACGUCUUGAGUUCGAGAGAGGUGGGUGGAAUUCCUAGUGUAGAGGUGAAAUUCGUAGAUAUUAGGAAGAACACCGGUGGCGAAGGCGGCCCACUGGCUCGAUACUGACGCUGAGGUGCGAAAGCGUGGGGAGCAAACAGGG
rnacentral:rRNA from 1 species